rnacentral:rRNA from 1 species
UACGUAGGGGGCAAGCGUUGUCCGGAAUCAUUGGGCGUAAAGAGCGUGUAGGCGGCCCGGUAAGUCCGCUGUGAAAGUCCAGGGCUCAACCCUGGAAUGCCGGUGGAAACUGUCGAGCUAGAGUCCGGAAGAGGCGAGUGGAAUUCCUGGUGUAGCGGUGAAAUGCGCAGAUAUCAGGAGGAACACCAAUGGCGAAGGCAGCUCGCUGGGACGGUACUGACGCUGAGACGCGAAAGCGUGGGGAGCGAACAGG